rnacentral:rRNA from 1 species
AGAGGGUGGCCUGCCAUACUGGGAUUGAGAUACGGCCCAGACUCCUACGGGAGGCAGCAAAUCGGAAUAAUCCACAAUGGGAGAAAUCCUGAUGGUGCGACGCCGCGUGAGCGAUGACGGCUUUCGGGUUGUAAAGCUCUGUGUUAUGGGAAGAAAAUCUGGCGGACUAAUAAUCCUCCGGCCUGACGGUACCAUAAUAGAAAGCCCCGGCUAACUACGUGCCAGCAGCCGCGGUAAUACGUAGGGGGCAAGCGUUGUUCGGAAUCACUGGGCGUAAAGGGCGUACAGGCGGCCAUAUAAGUCGGAUGUGAAAUCCUCGGGCUCAACCCGAGAUCUGCACUCGAUACUGCAUGGCUUGAGAUCAGGGGAGGAGAGUGGAAUAUGUGGUGUAGCGGUGAAAUGCGUAGAUAUCACAUAGAACACCGGUGGCGAAGGCGGCUCUCUGGCCUGAUUCUGACGCUGACGCGCGAAAGCUAGGGUAGCGAACGGGAUUAGAUACCCCGGUAGUCCUAGCCGUAAACGAUGGGUACUAAGUGUAGAAGGUCAUUGACCCCUUCUGUGCUGUAGCUAACGCAUUAAGUACCCCGCCUGGGGACUACGGCCGCAAGGCUAAAACUCAAAGUAAUUGACGGGGGCCCGCACAAGCGGUGGAGCAUGUCGCUUAAUUCGAAGCAACGCGAAGAACCUUAUCCAGUGGCUUGACAUCCUCUGACAACCGUGGAAACACGGCUUUCCCUUCGGGGACAGAGUGACAGGUGCUGCAUGGCAGUCGUCAGCUCGUGUCGUGAGAUGUUGGGUUAAGUCCCGCAACGAGCGCAACCCCUGUCUCUAGUUGCCAGCGCGUAAUGGCGGGGACUCUAGAGAGACUGCCGGCGAUAAGCCGGAGGAAGGCGGGGAUGACGUCAUGUCCUCAUGGCCCUUAUGCCCUGGGCUGCACACGUGCUACAAUGGUCGGUACAGAGGGUCGUGAAACCGCGAGGUGGAACCAAUCCCUUAAAGCCGGUCUCAGUUGGGAUUGUAGUCUGCAACUCGACUACAUGAACGUGGAAUCGCUAGUAAUCGCGAAUCAGCAGGUCGCGGUGAAUACGUUCCCGGGCCUUGUACACACCGCCUGUCACACCACGAAAGUCGGUGGCAUUCGAAGCCUGUGAGCUAACCCUUCGGGGAGGCAGCAGUCGAAAGUGAAACCGAUGAUUGGGGUGAA